rnacentral:tRNA from 1 species
GUGCCCGUGGCUCAGCUGGAUAGAGCGGCGCUUUCCUAAAGCGCAGGCCCCCGGUUCGAAUCCGGGCGGGCAUACCA